AUUGAACGCUGGCGGCAGGCCUAACACAUGCAAGUCGAACGAGUGGCGGACGGGUGAGUAAUGUCUGGGAACCUGCCCGAUGGAGGGGGAUCACUACUGGAAACGGUAGCUAAUACCGCAUACAAUCGGAUGUGCCCAGAUGGGAUUAGCUUGUAGGUGAGGUAACGGCUCACCCAGGCGACGAUCCCUAGCGGGGCUGAGAGGAUGACCAGGCACACUGGAACUGAGACACGGUCCAGACUCCUACGGUGGGCAGCAGUUGGGAAUAUUGCGCAAUGGGGGCAAGCCUGAUGCAGCCAGGGCGCGUGUGUGAAGAAGGACUUCGGGUUGUAAAGUACUUUCAGCGGGGAGGCGUUACCCGCAGAAGAAGCACCGGCUAACUCCGUGCCAGCAGCCGCGGUAAUUC
rnacentral:rRNA from 1 species